ensembl:lncRNA
UCUCACUAGUCCCCACGGCAACAAAUGGAUGCACAUUGUAAAAAAAGAAGGGCUAAAUAGUUUCGAUGGCAGCAUCUGUGUCCACUGUUUAACAGGCGGGUCAUAAAUACAUAAACUGCAGUGCAGCCUGUCUUAAGCAUCAGGUCGGUGUUUCCAGGCUGUGUUUUCUCGCAGGAGGACGCAGCAGACAACAAGUACUCCCAUUCCCCUGCCUCCCAUUCGCUGAAAAACCUGGUAGGGUCUCUCUCUCUCUCUCUCUCUCUCUCUCUCUCUCUCUCUCUCUCUCUCUGUGCUGGCAGGGGGACAGCACGUCGGACGUUGUCGUACACAGUAUUUUUCCAGUUUUUUGUGGAAAGAUGAACGACAUGGAAAGGAGUCCUCUCGUUUUAGACAUGUGCAACAGGCUGAGACAGGAGACUUAAUCACCAAGGUCAUGCUGAAACAAGAAGAUCACAUCUUCAUUAUCAGUGUGCUGCUCAGAGUGACAGAGCAGGUGUCGGUCCGAGGGCCACGCGGAGAUGAUCCGAAUCAGCUUCUGCAUGUUACUGAAUGGGCCCAGAUACUGAUAAAACAUUCAAGGGCAGGAGAAGGAAUUUCUUCCUCGGUCUAUCUCAGACGUUGGGCAAGGCAGUGAUCGUUACUCCAAGGAGGGAGGAAUUAAUUAAAGAUGAGAAAAUCAAGACUACAUUUGCUCCAAUUAAUUAACAGGA